AUAGCGUAUAUUAAAGUUGCUGCAGUUAAAAAGCUCGUAGUUGGAUUUCUGGCCUGAAACAUUUUGCCGGCCACGGUUUCGUGUGUUAGUGCUUUGUGUUCUGGCCAUCCUUCCAAUCGCUAUUCAGCUUUCUUCAUUGAUUGUUGAGUGGUAUUGGAUCUUUUACUUUGAAAAAAUUAGAGUGUUUCAAGCAGGCUUUAUGCUAUGAAUACAUUAGCAUGGAAUAAUAAUUUAGGACUUCGGUUCUAUUUUGUUGGUUUCUAGGACUGAAGUAAUGAUUGAUAGGGAUAGUUGGGGGUGCUAGUAUUCAGCGGCCAGAGGUGAAAUUCUCGGAUUCGCUGAAGACUAACUUAUG
rnacentral:rRNA from 1 species